AGGAUGCUUUUGGCGCGGUGCCUUCUGAGUUCCCUGGAACGGGACGCCGGAAAGGGUGAGAGCCCCGUACAGUUGGACACCAAGCCUUUGUAAAGCUCCUUCGACGAGUCGAGUAGUUUGGGAAUGCUGCUCAAAAUGGGAGGUAAAUGCCUUCUAAAGCUAAAUACCGGCCAGAGACCGAUAGCGCACAAGUAGAGUGAUCGAAAGAUGAAAAGCACUUUGAAAAGAGGGUUAAACAGUACGUGAAAUUGUUGAAAGGGAAGCGCUCGUGACCAGACUUGCGCCCGGCGGAUCAUCCGGCCUUCUGGCCGGUGCACUCCGCCGGGCUCAGGCCAGCAUCGGUUCUUCUGGGGGGAUAAAAGCGGCGGGAACGUAGCUCCUCCGGGAGUGUUAUAGCCCGCCGCAGCAUACCCCCGGGGGGACCGAGGACCGCGCUUCGGCAAGGAUGCUGGCGUAAUGGNCACCAGCGACCCGUCUUGAAACACGGACCAAGGAGUCAAGCAUUAGGGCGAGUGUUUGGGUGUUAAACCCGCACGCGAAAUGAAAGUGAACGCAGGUGAGAGCUUCGGCGCAUCAUCGACCGAUCCUGAUGUUUUCGGAUGGAUUUGAGUAAGAGCCUUACCGCUU
rnacentral:rRNA from 1 species